UAUCAUUCAAUGGACCUAAAAAUAAAGUUGGAAUAUUUUCGCUUCAGUACAACACACAGCCAGGCUUAAUGUUUAUGUUUACACUUAACCAACCAAUCGUAUUGCUUUCGUCUUCUUUCCAAAAUAUAACUCUAGUUGUGAACUCCGUUCACAAGGUGCUAUCUGUAGUAAUCCUUGGGACAUCAGAAUUAUGUUGAUUGUCUCUGCAACUGGAUUACAAUUUAAUUCUCUGUUUUCUGGAUAAUAUUUUACAUGUCUUCAAUCUUGUUUAAUUGUGUGUGAUAGCCGCAUGACAUUAUUCAAAUUCAACAGAAGGAACACGGCCAUUGGUAUAUAAUUAACACAAAAUAUUAGGACUUCUACUAAAGUGGAAAUCAUCAAGGCCAUCAAAAGUGCAAAACGUGGGCAGCAGGCCCAGAUGGUAUUAAAGCAGACCCCAAACAUCAGAUGCAUGCAAUGCUAAAUUUACUACUGUGCAAGAUUUGGGAACAAGAACAGAUUCCUACCAUAUUUGGAAACUAGAUUACCUAAUCAAUGUACCCAAUGAAGGGUAAGAAAAAGACUAAAGCCUUAACAGGCUGGUUUCUGAAGGAAAAAUUAUGUUACUAGAUUACACAUGAUCAUGAAACCUUUGUAGAUUUUGAGAACUCAUUUGACAGCAUUGACAUACACAUAAUUUGGAAGCUGAUAAAUCUAAGAUUUUCUGAAUCAAUAAAAAGAAAACUGAGGUUAUGUGAAUCAAGUUAGCCCAAUCAUACUACUGGGGGAUACAUCCUCAAUACCAUUAACUCUGGGAAGUAUGAUUAGCAAAAACAGUGGAACUGAUGAUGAUAUAAGAAAUGGCAUUACUAAAGCUAGAUUUGCCUUUAACACUCUUCAAACUAUCUGGCACUCUAAAGUACUGUCUUUACAAAUUAAGAUCUUGAUCAUUAACAUGAGCGUUAAUUCGGUUCUUCUAUAAAGUUCCAAAUCAUGGAGAGAGAAACAUAUGGAAAAAUUCCAGGCCUUCAUCAAACUGUUGCCUUCUCUGGACAUUUGAAAAUAUAUCUACUGUCAAAGUAGAAACUACAAUUAAGGACAGAACGAGAAAAAAAAAACAUACCCAAAGAUACAUUUUAAAGUGAAAAUGGAGCUGGAUAGAAAUAUUUCUGGGAAAACCAACUACCAAUAUUGCAAAGCAGGCACUUGACUUGAUAUUCGCAUGGAAUCUGGGCAGGCUUAAACAAACCUGAAAGAGUUCAGAUCAGCAAGGAUGCAAAUACUGGAAUGACAUAUGCCAUAAUGGAAGAUGAAUUACCAGAUUCAGCAUAGGAGAUCGAAGAAAGGCACACAGAAAUAAGUCAAUUAAACAUGAACCAUAACAAGGGUGAGAAAUGAGAAAUGCAAUCAAGUCAGCACUAGACAAUGGAUACAUUUUGUUUCUUUCUCUCAUUAUGUUUCUGUAAUAUCUCACACUUUUUUUGUUUUUACAUUUUCCUAUUUGAUGUAUGAUAUAUAUAUAAAUUAAUUGAAAAUUCAUUA